CCGCGGCGGCGGGUUUGGUGCGACACCGUCCUGACAUGUUGUAACUGGUUUCCACACCCACCGCGCCUGAGAGCGACGGGAAGUACCUGCGAUGAGCCCUGCGCCGCCUUGACUCGCCGCCGCGAUCGCAGCAGCCGGGUCGAGCCGCCCCGCCGCUCCGGAGAUACAUUUCAUCAGCUCACGAAUGGAAGUUUAAGAGACUUUAUACAAAAUAUAUGUGAAAAUGGAAACUUCAUCUUUGCUAUCAUCCUUACAUGAUGAAUGCAGAUCAGACAACUAUAUUGAACCUCACUACAAGGAAUGGUACCGAGUAGCUAUUGAUGCUCUAAUUGAAGGAGGUUUAGAAGCCUACAAAGAAUUUCUUUCCAAAGAGAGAUGCUCAGAAUUCCUAGCCGAUGAGGAAAUUGAUUAUAUUUUGAACAACGUUCACAAACUUCCCCAAAGCACAAUUUAUUCCUCUAACAAUGCCAUUGAUGACACCUCUUCCUCGGGAACAUACUGGCCUAUUGAAUCAGAUGUGGAAGCUCCAAAUCUUGACCUAGGUUGGCCCUACCUGAUGCCUGGAAUUUCUGGUGGCACAAAUAUUGAUCUGCUUUUUCAUCCACCACGAGCACAGCCUUACACCAUAAAGGAAACUAUUCGGAAGAUGAUACGAGAUGCAAGAAAGGUUAUUGCCAUCGUUAUGGAUAUGUUUACAGAUGUGGAUAUCUUUAGAGAAAUUGUGGAGGCAUCUGCUAGAGGGAUUGCAGUGUAUCUCCUGCUUGAUGAGUCGAACUUCAGUCACUUUCUGAAAAUGACGGAGAAACAAGGCUGUCAAGUUCAGAGGCUCAGGAACAUGAGGGUACGGACAGUAAAAGGACAAGAUUACUAUUCUAAAACAGGAGCAAAAUUCCAUGGAAAAAUGGAACAAAAAUUUAUUCUUGCUGACUGUAAGAAAGUCAUAUAUGGUUCUUACAGCUUUAUGUGGUCAUUUGAAAAAACCAACCUCAGUAUGGUUCAAGUUAUCACAGGACAGCUGGUUGAAUCCUUUGAUGAAGAGUUCAGGACACUGUACGCCCGUUCUUCUGUUCCUAGUUCAUUUGCCCCAGAAUUAGUGCGGGUAAACAGUCGCAGGACACUCUGGGAUAAUGAUACAUACCAACACUCAGUGUCUUCCUUGGCUUCAGUUUCUAGCCAAAGAAACCUUCUUGGUAGGCAAGACAAGCUUCACAAGAUAGAUCCUGUUUGUUGGAAAACUCAUGGAAGAUAUGCAGUAAAUGAAAUAGAUAAAUAUGGCUUGAGAAAUCAAGCCUAUAAUAAACAACCGUUUCAUCAAGGUUUUAAUAUGCAAAAUCCAAUGCAGCAGUAUCAACCUAGUGAAAAAAAUGAGCACUGGAAGAGACAUAGUUAUGCUGGGGAGAAGCCAGAAAGGACACCUUACCUAUUGCUCAACAGAGCUAUUAAUAGAGCCAACAAUCCAUCACAUACUUGGAAAAUGCCAUCUGAUAGCCUUAGUAUCGUUUCUUCAUUACGAGGAGGAUAUGCAAAUAACUACAGUACACCCCAGCAAAGUUUUGCCGAUCAGUUUUCACGACCAAAGGUAAAUCUUGCAGAAAGAAACUCAAUUGUACGGAGGUCUUUUAAUGGGACAGAUAAUCAUAUCCGCCAUCUGCAGCAGAGGAUGCCAACCCUCGAACACACAACUAAAUCGUUCCUACGUAACUGGCGAAUUAAGUCAUAUUUGAAUGAUCAAUCAGAUUAUCCAGUAGAGUCUAAUGGCUCAGCCUUGGGUGACAGAUAUGAUGGCUAUGACACAGCUGAAAAUAUUAAAACUCAUGCGCUGUAUUCUCAUUCUCGCUUACGAUCAUCAUUGGUGUUUCAGCCAACUUUACCUGAACAGCAGGAAGUAAGCAGCUGUGCAAGUUCUUCAAAUUCAACUAUAAUUGGGUCAGAGGGAAGUGCAACACCUAAAGGGACAUCUAAUCAUGCUCCAAGUGUGGAAAAUGGAACAGGUAAUAUUUUAGAAGAGCUUAGCACAAACGUCCCACUUAAAUCAGAUGCACCAAAAAACCACAGAAUUCAUAUUGCAGACAACACAAAACCUAGCGUAAAUUCAAAUGCAACCGGCGACUCAUCUCUCUACUUGUACACAACACUGUGUGCGGACAAACAUGCAGAAAAUUUGAAGAACCUUCAAAAUGAAAAUAUGCUAAAAAGGAGAAGUUUUCCCAUGUUUAAUUCAAAGUCCAUAUUAGACCCUGGUGCCAACAAACAUGCAUCCAGUUAUGUUUACAGCACAUUGACUAGGCAUAGACUUAAGGAGCCAGUUAGUCCAAAACUUCCAGAAGAUACACUGAAGAGCUCUAAAAGUUUGCACAGUGUGACCAACCACUUGCCACAGGAAGAAAAGAACCUCAAAGGGGAGCUAAAGAGCCCGACUGCUAGCAAGGCGAUCUCUAUGGCUGCUCUCUCUGAAGCUAGCAAAGAAGAGUCUUGUAAGGAUUGCACAUCAAAGAAAGAAAGUAAGAAUUCCCCAAGUUUUCUAAAGAAAGGAUCCCAGAAACUGCGGUCACUUCUUAAUCUCACCCCAGACAAGAAGGAAAAUUUGUCAAAAAACAAAGGUCCUGCCUUUUACAGAAUGUGUAGUAGUUCUGACACAUUGGUUUCUGAAGAAGAGAAUCAGAAACCAAAGAUUUCUGAGAAUAAGACAGAUUCUUCCCCAAGGAGAAAGAGAAACACAUCAUCGAAUUCUCAAGGUAGCUUGAACAGAAGUAAGGAAGAUGUCACCGGGAGCCCAACAAAGUCUCCAAAGUCUCCAAAGUCACCAAAACCUCAAAAACCUCCAUCUGAUGAAAGCAAUAAAAAGUGUCCUCUCUUGUGCCCCCUUGAAAGUAAGUUCAUAGAAACUGCAGGAGAUGCAUCUACCCCAAGAUUUAAUACAGAACAGAUUCAGUAUCAAGACGUAAAGGAAAUCACCACAAAUACUACUCCCGAAAGUGCCCCUCUUUCUGCUCUUCAAAGAGCAAGUUCAAUGACACCACAGCUGGCAAGCUCAAAACGCCAAGAGGAGCUAAGAUGUCGUUUGAGUGAAAGGCGUGUUUAUAGCCGCUUUGAGCCAUUCUGCAAGAUGGAAAAUGCUAACCAACCUGCAGGAAAUGCACCUAACAGCAGUUCACAUCUCUCAGAUAUCAAAAGCAAGACCUUAGGGAAUAAUUAUGGCAGGAGUAAUCACAUGGUCAGCUACAACUCAACUGCUUACCAUCCAUUGCAACCUAAUGAAAAUAAGCUGAGAGGAUUUAUGCAAAAGUUUGGGAACUUCCUACACAAAAACAAAUAAAACUUUUGUUGAUUAUGUUGAAAUACAGCAAGAGUAGCGAAGCUGAGCAUAAUCUUAACUGAACCAGACUGACGGGCAACUUUCGUAGAGCUUACUUGGGUUUCUUCCUGGGUCUAGGACAUUGAAAUGAAUGUACAUAUUUUUACAUACUUAUCCUAGAAUUGUGAUACUUAAGUCUUUACAGAAAUUCUGUGUCCAGAAGAUGUCUCAAGGGAGUUGUUUAUAGUGUUUAUAUUGUAAGAUUAAUUUUAUACAUUUUCCUUGUGAAGAAAGUACGUGCUAGCAUAUUGUAAGAUUAAGUGUGGAAAAAAAAAGAUGGAGGAUGUUUUUAAACUUCAAAUAAUACUGUUUCCAAAGAAUUGCCCUUUAAAAGUAGGAUAGCACUAGGAAUAGUGGCUUGCAUUUUUUCAGCAUUUAUGUACACAAAUGAUAAACACAAAUGUUAAUGUAUUGCAUGUUACUUAUCUUUAAACUAAUUUUUGAAAAUGUCUUUUAGGCUUCAUCUUGUUAAUAAUUUAGCCCAUAGCAUCUAUCGAACUGUUUGGGCAGCAGAUGGAUCUAUCUUACGUUAUUGAAUUUUCCAUGUAAUAUGAUAUUUUUCUGAAGUAUUUGGCACACAGAUCUUAAAGUGACCUUAAUCUGAGCUUCAACAGACUUGUUUACAUGGAUAAACUAGUGUGAAUGUAGAAUGAACGUUAAAAAAGCUAUUUAUAAAAAAGGUGCCUUGAACGUAACUUACAACUACUUUAAAUUUCAAUGGGUUAAUUACAUUUGUAUAACAUGCCAGUAUUCUGUAAUGUAUUCUAAAAAUAGCUUUUUGUUACAUUUUUCUAUUUGGUGUUUCCAAAAAAAAUUGUCUGUGGACUUCCAUUUCUCAGGUCUCUCCUCACAGAUCCCGCCUAGGAGUGUUGCUACAUUAAGGCCUGAUCCGAGGUUAAUUGAAAUGAAUGCAAAAGACCACCACGGACCUCAGUGGAAGUAGGAUCAGGCACUUAAUGUACUGACACCACUAUUUUAGGGAUGUUACAAGACCCAGUGCUGCUUGGGAAGCAUGAGGCUCUGACGCUACAGGAAGAGGAGCCCAAUGCCCUGCCUGCAGUUGCGGUUUUGAAGGUGGGGGAGCACACUGGGGAGCUCCACUGGUGGUGCAAGGACCAACUGUGACAUUGUUCCCUCCAGAAUUGUGUUAAAGGUGGGAAAACAGUGCUCACCCAGUCCUGUCUGAUUUGCCUCAUGUCUCUGUGGGAAACCAGCUGUUCACAAAAUAGAAAGGAAAAGUUUGGGGGGGGGGGGGGGGGGGGGGGGGGGCCGGGAGGGAAAGAUACCUGCAUCAGUGAAAAAAAAGGAUUUGCACAUUUCUGGAGGGAAAAAUAAAGUUUAUAUUUUUGCACUUCCUUUUCUCAAGCUUGUCUUGAUGUUUCUGCUUUUCCAAGGAGAUAUAUUUUGUUUAAUGUGUCCUAAAUGCGCUCUGCACCUUGCAAGCUUGUUCCACCCUGCACACACCCAACGCACUCCCAGUUUUGUAAGGCUGUGAAGUAAUAGCUGUUGCCGUGCGUGACGGUCAUUUGGCCAAAUGACUUGGGAGUUGUGAAACCCAUAAAAAAUUAUGUGUCAUUUCUACAUUAAAUAAAACUCCAUUAGCACCAUAAUAGAUUUAGGAGGGUGUCCGUGCAAAAGCUGAUCAGUUAUGCAAUGCUGAGCGUGGCCCUCAAGAGCACCGUCGGCAGUGGCGGGCAGUGCAGCUGGGACAUACAGGCUCCUCAUACGGUGCCCAUUCAAUUCAUGUCAUAAAUAAACCACCCCUACCUAAGGUCAUAAUACUCAGUCAAUCAAUUGCUUCAUUUCUUCAGCCUUGUAAUAAACAAUUUUUACCGCCUCAGAUUGCAAAAUGUUGGUUGUUCUCUUAUUGAUGUGCUUACACUGCACUCUUUAUUCAUGCUAACAAACAUGCACUAUAUGUAAUGAAAGGUUAAAAAUUAAGAAAUAUUAAAUUUCCAGCUGUCUAAUACAUGAGGGCAGUAGUAUUUGUUACAAACCUUGAGAGGAAAAAAAAAAUCUUAUCAGGCAAUAGAUGUUUGUGCAUCGAUAAGUGAAAAAGUACUAUUCAGAGAAAAAAAGUUUGAUCAUUUUUCAGCUUUCUGAAAUGUAUUAGGAAAUGUUGUUGUUUAUAAAAAAAGUCGUAAGAAAAAUAAUACCAAAAUCUGUUGCAAGACAAUGUAAAAAUAAAAUCGAAAAUGGCUCCACUAAGCUGUAUAAGAAUUUUUUAUUUUUUAAUUUGUAGCGUUAUGUGGGAUAAGCUGUACAACCAACAAGUAGCUUUGCAACUGUGUAAUGCAGAGAGAUCAGUAAGAUUACUGUGGUACUCACUGUGAUUUAUUCCCCAUACCAAGGUUGUACUGCACAGGACAGUAUCUGGGGUUUUUUUUAGUUUUCAUUUAAGGCAGGAGAGUUAGAGCAACAUAAAGCUGCAGUAAUUCAUGGGUAAUUGAGACGUUACUCCAAUUUUGUCUUUGCUUGCAUGAGUACAUAUUCCACUAGCAUUCCGGUGACAAGAGAGGAGACUGCAAUGCUCAAAAGGCCCUCUUGCCAUUUCAUUCUUUAUUUCAUACAGGUGCUUACAGAUGUCUUGGUACCUUUCUAUAGGGUCUGAAAUUUUUCAUCAUUUUCAACUCAAAACUAAGAGUUACAGUUAGGUCUCUCUUCUUCACAUUUUAACUGUUGCCAAAGAUGUGUUGCAUGUUCUGAGAACUGUUUUCUGUGCUGAGAAACAGGAUGGAAGAAAACAUUUGCUCUUGGACAGCUCAGAACAGAGCUGCUUUGCUGAUAAGCAAAGCUAGUAGUGCAGAUUUCUACUUUAGUGAUGUUGACUACUUAAGUUUUAAUCCCCUUAACCUCCUUCUUGCUUAGAGUGAUCCCCCCAGGUCAUAUUUAAAAGCAAUUGUCAUAGAUGUAACACUUUAAAAAGUGGUCAAGUCCUAUUUCUGAAAAGCCAGGGGGAUACAGGGGCCUACAUUCCCAAAUCAAUAUGUGUAUAUCUUGAAAAUAUCUUUGCAUAUUUCUGGAAGAGAAUCUGAUUUACUAAAAAUGACUGGAUAUGCCUUCAGAAGAAGCUUCUGUGAAGACUAUGCAUCUUUUUCCCACCACUUGUGUUACGCUAACUAAAAAUUCCAUGGGUAAGUGCAAAAAAUAGUUAGAGGGGGGAAAUAAUCACUUCUGAUAAGAGACCCAUGAAACAUGUUUAUUUUGAUAGUGUUGCUUCCAUAUGUAAAUACAGCUGGGAUAAAAAAUGCUUCUUUUCUCUCCAAAGCAGAUAAAAUUUAUGACAGUUGAAGUAGAAAUAUUUUUAAAGACUAUGCACCAGUGGUAAUAUUUUUUUGUGUUUGAGAAAUGAAUGCAACUCAUUUAUUAGCAUUCAACCACAGGACUCAUAUGUCAUUUGUACGUUGUCUCUUCUUGCCUCAUUUAACAAUCAGCGUGCUCAAAAUUCAGACUGUCUACAGCUUCCCAAGCCCUUGAAUAAUACUCUGAAGAACCGAUCCAACAAGGCAUUAAACACACACUUAGCUUUUUGAACUAGGCAGUCCCUGGAUAAAGCAUAACACCAAGCAUACAUGUUUGUUAGAUUUUGGUGUAAAAAAUCUCAGUGUAGUCCUAGCUGAUGUAUUUUGGAAGACUGCUGAAUAUAUGGUUUCAUUCUUUUCCUUGGGCCAUGUCUAAUUUUGACCCAUGGUGAUACCCUGUUUCAACACCAUGUCUAACAUGUUUCUUCCAAAUGUCACAUUAGCUGGUGUUAAAAUAUCAUUAUUCUGGUUUCAGAGUUUAGAUCAAUCUUCCUUAGUGCAGGAUCUGUGGAUCCCUGGUGAUCCAUAAGAUUUCAAAGGUGACAUGGAAGUGAAUUCAGAUGACUAAAAAAACACAACUAGACAAAACAGAAAAGCAUUUGCACAUAUUUCCGUGUACAGCAAAGGAAGCAAGUAAAAUCAGAAAACUCGUAAGUAAACAUUCAUAAUGUACUUUUUACCAGUUGAAAAUGAAAGCUGGUACACCAAUGCUGCAGGAAAAAAAAAAAAAGAAUAAUCAGGUGCUCUUUGAUUAAAAAAAGCUGAGAAACACUGCUCUAGAUGCUGUAAAACAAGUAUGAGGGGUGCUACAAAUACCCAAGGCCCAGAAUAGAUUUUACUGGGUAAUUUCGGGGGGUGGGGCAGGGAGGGAAUUCCAUCAAGUUGGUUUCAGUACUGAUGGAUGUAAAAGCCUGUGCUGGUUUCAUUUAAAAUUGUUACUUGAUAUGUAAAUCCUUUUUCUUAAGGUGGAAUUCCUGCAUUACAUAGCAGCUAUGUUAUGGAUAUACUGUGUAUGUACAGAUACAA